CGCGAGCGAGAGGGCGAGAGGCCCAGUCCGCGCAACGAAAGCGAUGGCGGACGCUCUCCGCGAGGGGGCGGCGCCGCCGGCCGGACGUCCUCGAGGCGGACCGAGCCGGAGCGCUCGCGUCGGGACCCGAAAGGUGGUGAUCUAUCCGUGCGCGCGGCGAAGCCGGGGGAAACCCCGGUGGAGGCCCGUCGACGGUACUGACGUGCAAAUCGUUCGUCCGACGUGCGAAUAGGGGCGAAAGACCAAUCGAACCUCCUAGUAGCUGGUUUCCGCCGAAAUUUCCCUCAGGAUAGCGGCCAUCGCGGAAACGUUUUGACCGGUAGAGCGAACGACUAGAGGUACCGGGGCCGUAACGGCCUCGACCUAUUCUCGAACUCCGAACGGGCAAGGAGCCGGGGUCGCCCGAUCGGACCCCGGACGUGAAGUCGACGAUGGUCGGUGGGCUGGUUUUGGUAAGCAGAACGGGCGAUUCGGGAUGAACCGGAAGCGGGGAGAAAGGGCCCGAGAUUGCGUCGACGCGGAUCCCGAAAAAGGGCGUCGAUCCGUCGCGACAGCGGGACG
rnacentral:rRNA from 1 species